AGUGAACGCUGGCGGUAGGCCUAACACAUGCAAGUCGAACGGCAGCACAGUAAGAGCUUGCUCUUACGGGUGGCGAGUGGCGGACGGGUGAGGAAGACAUCGGAAUCUACUUUUUCGUGGGGGAUAACGUAGGGAAACUUACGCUAAUACCGCAUACGACCUACGGGUGAAAGCAGGGGAUCUUCGGACCUUGCGCGAUUGAAUGAGCCGAUGUCGGAUUAGCUAGUUGGCGGGGUAAAGGCCCACCAAGGCGACGAUCCGUAGCUGGUCUGAGAGGAUGAUCAGCCACACUGGAACUGAGACACGGUCCAGACUCCUACGGGAGGCAGCAGUGGGGAAUAUUGGACAAUGGGCGCAAGCCUGAUCCAGCCAUACCGCGUGGGUGAAGAAGGCCUUCGGGUUGUAAAGCCCUUUUGUUGGGAAAGAAAAGCGGCAGGUUAAUACCCCGCUGUUCUGACGGUACCCAAAGAAUAAGCACCGGCUAACUUCGUG
rnacentral:rRNA from 1 species